rnacentral:tRNA from 1 species
AGGGUUGUAGUUAAUUAUAACAUUUGAGUUGCAUUCAAAAAGUAUUGAAAUCUAAUCAAUCAACCUUA